AGUGAACGCUGGCGGUAGGCCUAACACAUGCAAGUCGAACGGCAGCACAGUAAGAGCUUGCUCUUACGGGUGGCGAGUGGCGGACGGGUGAGGAAUACAUCGGAAUCUACUUUUUCGUGGGGGAUAACGUAGGGAAACUUACGCUAAUACCGCAUACGACCUACGGGUGAAAGCAGGGGAUCUUCGGACCUUGCGCGAUUGAAUGAGCCGAUGUCGGAUUAGCUAGUUGGCGGGAUAAAGGCCCACCAAGGCGACGAUCCGUAGCUGGUCUGAGAGGAUGAUCAGCCACACUGGAACUGAGACACGGUCCAGACUCCUACGGGAGGCAGCAGUGGGGAAUAUUGGACAAUGGGCGCAAGCCUGAUCCAGCCAUACCGCGUGGGUGAAGAAGGCCUUCGGGUUGUAAAGCCCUUUUGUUGGGAAAGAAAAGCAGCAGGUUAAGACCCCGCUGUUCUGACGGUACCCAAAGAAUAAGCACCGGCUAACUUCGUG
rnacentral:rRNA from 1 species